rnacentral:lncRNA from 1 species
GGUUCCCUGAAUUUGUCGCCUGAGGACAGGCUCUUUGUAAGGGGGGUACCGUGAUGGGCCCUUACCAUUAUUCACUGUCUCCAAGUUGUUCCCUCUGAAUUGUAAUGGCAUUACUUCUUAUGGUGACUCAGCACCAAACCUUUUGUCUGUAGUGGAUAGUGGAUAUAUAUUUCCCUUUUGUAAUCCUUGAGGAGGAAUGAAAUGAAUUAACCUUUUAAACUUUUCUUGCAUUUCCCUUUAUUCUGAACCUUUUCUUCUCUGUGCGGCUGGAAACCUAACAAU